rnacentral:rRNA from 1 species
AUGGGGAUAACGAGUCGACGAUUGAAGCCCCCAACAUUUUGCCAGACACUGGACAGGGAUAUCUGGAUAGAUGGAUGGAUCUAUCUUUCUAUUCAGAUAUCUUUUGCAAUCAGCCCCAAAUCCUUGAUUUGGCCAGGAAUCAAAGCACUGCUUUGGGCCCAGGAAGCAAAGGGAAUGAGCUCGGCUGCUUCUCCCCCAAACUUCUUUAUUUCUCCGUGCCCCUUCCGCAUGUGCUUCGCGCGCCAUUGGCGCUUUGCUCUCCUCUUAUUUCUUCAUUGGAGGGUUCGGAUGAUAUCUUUUGCAAUCAGCCCCAAAUCCUUGAUUUGGCCAGGAAACAAAGCACUGCUUUGGGCCCAGGAAGCGAAGGGAAUGAGCUCGGCUGCUUCUCCCCCAAACUUCUUUAUUUCUCCGUGCCCCUUCCGCAUGCGCUUCACGCGCCAUUGGCGCUUUGCUCUCCUCUUAUUUCUUCAUUGGAGGGUUCGGAUGGACUUCGCCGUUCUUUCCCAACAAAAAUGGAAAGGGUUGUAUCACAUCGAGAUGUCAAUUCGUUUUCCGCCCCAAAUGAGAUGGGGAAUUAGUCACCUCUGUCCCUUCAUCUUUUUGAAAGGAAUCGAGGCCCGGCCCAGCUCGCGUCGUUCCAACAACCGACGGGGAGCACCUCAGUAUACGAUCGCGCGCAGUAACUGGGAGUCCUAUUACACCUAA